UUCUUGAUCGUAUAACGGUUAGUAUGCUCGCUUGUCAUUACAGCUCGCGGGAGAUCGGAGUUCGAUUCUCCGUCAGGAAG
rnacentral:tRNA from 1 species